rnacentral:rRNA from 1 species
AUGAUUUACAUUUGAGUGAGUGGCGAACUGGUGAGUAACACGUGGGAAACCUGCCCAGAAGCGGGGGAUAACACCUGGAAACAGAUGCUAAUACCGUAUAAUAACAAAAUCCGCAUGGAUUUUGUUUGAAAGGUGGCUUCGGCUAUCACUUCUGGAUGAUCCCGCGGCGUAUUAGCUAGAUGGUGGGGUAACGGCUCACCAUGGCAAUGAUACGUAGCCGACCUGAGAGGGUAAUCGGCCACAUUGGGACUGAGACACGGCCCAAACUCC